rnacentral:rRNA from 1 species
CGCUGGCGGCAGGCCUAACACAUGCAAGUCGAGCGGUAGAGAGAAGCUUGCUUCUCUUGAGAGCGGCGGACGGGUGAGUAAUGCCUAGGAAUCUGCCUGGUAGUGGGGGAUAACGUUCGGAAACGGACGCUAAUACCGCAUACGUCCUACGGGAGAAAGCAGGGGACCUUCGGGCCUUGCGCUAUCAGAUGAGCCUAGGUUGGAUUAGCUAGUUGGUGAGGUAAUGGCUCACCAAGGCGACGAUCCGUAACUGGUCUGAGAGGAUGAUCAGUCACACUGGAACUGAGACACGGUCCAGACUCCUACGGGAGGCAGCAGUGGGGAAUAUUGGACAAUGGGCGAAAGCCUGAUCCAGCCAUGCCGCGUGUGUGAAGAAGGUCUUCGGAUUGUAAAGCACUUUAAGUUGGGAGGAAGGGUUGUAGAUUAAUACUCUGCAAUUUUGACGUUACCGACAGAAUAAGCACCGGCUAACUCUGUGCCAGCAGCCGCGGUAAUACAGAGGGUGCAAGCGUUAAUCGGAAUUACUGGGCGUAAAGCGCGCGUAGGUGGUUUGUUAAGUUGGAUGUGAAAUCCCCGGGCUCAACCUGGGAACUGCAUUCAAAACUGACUGACUAGAGUAUGGUAGAGGGUGGUGGAAUUUCCUGUGUAGCGGUGAAAUGCGUAGAUAUAGGAAGGAACACCAGUGGCGAAGGCGACCACCUGGACUAAUACUGACACUGAGGUGCGAAAGCG